rnacentral:rRNA from 1 species
UACGUAGGGUGCAAGCGUUGUCCGGAAUUAUUGGGCGUAAAGAGCGUGUAGGCGGCCCGAUUAGUCCGCUGUGAAAGUCCAGGGCUCAACCCUGGAAUGCCGGUGGAUACUGUCGGGCUAGAGUCCGGAAGGGGCGAGUGGAAUUCCUGGUGUAGCGGUGAAAUGCGCAGAUAUCAGGAGGAACACCAAUGGCGAAGGCAGCUCGCUGGGACGGUACUGACACUGAGACGCGAAAGCGUGGGGAGCAAACAGG